AGCAUAUCAAUAAGCGGAGGAAAAGAAACCAACAGGGAUUGCCCCAGUAACGGCGAGUGAAGCGGCAACAGCUCAAAUUUGAAAUCUGGCCCCUCGGGCCCGAGUUGUAAUUUGUAGAGGAUGCUUUUGGCAAGGUGCCGCCCGAGUUCCCUGGAACGGGACGCCGCAGAGGGUGAGAGCCCCGUCUGGCUGGCCACCGAGCCUCUGUAAAGCUCCUUCGACGAGUCGAGUAGUUUGGGAAUGCUGCUCAAAAUGGGAGGUAUAUGUCUUCUAAAGCUAAAUAUUGGCCAGAGACCGAUAGCGCACAAGUAGAGUGAUCGAAAGAUGAAAAGCACUUUGAAAAGAGGGUUAAACAGUACGUGAAAUUGUUGAAAGGGAAGCGCUCAUGACCAGACUUGGGCUUGGCGAAUCAUCCGGCGUUCUCGCCGGUGCACUUCGCCUCGCUCAGGCCAGCAUCAGUUCGCGCCGGGGGACAAAAGUUUCGGGAAUGUGGCUCCUCCGGGAGUGUUAUAGCCCGUUGCAUAAUACCCUGGUGCGGACUGAGGUUCGCGCAUCUGCAAGGAUGCUGGCGUAAUGGUCAUCAGCGACCCGUCUUGAAACACGGACCAAGGAGUCGUCUUCGUAUGCGAGUGUUCGGGUGUCAAACCCCUACGCGUAAUGAAAGUGAACGCAGGUGAGAGCUUCGGCGCAUCAUCGACCGAUCCUGAUGUUCUCGGAUGGAUUUGAGUAAGAGCAUACGGGGCCGGACCCGAAAGAAGGUGAACUAUGCCUGUAUAGGGUGAAGCCAGAGGAAACUCUGGUGGAGGCUCGCAGCGGUUCUGACGUGCAAAUCGAUCGUCAAAUAUGGGCAUGGGGGCGAAAGACUAAUCGAACCUUCUAGUAGCUGGUUUCCGCCGA
rnacentral:rRNA from 1 species